ACGGUAUCAACAGAAGAAGCACCGGCUAACUACGUGCCAGCAGCCGCGGUAAUACGUAGGGUGCGAGCGUUAAUCGGAAUUACUGGGCGUAAAGGGUGCGCAGGCGGUUCUGAAAGUCAGAUGUGAAAUCCCUGGGCUUAACCUAGGAAUUGCGUUUGAAACUACAGAACUAGAGUGUGGCAGAGGGGGGUGGAAUUCCAUGUGUAGCAGUGAAAUGCGUAGAGAUAUGGAAGAACAUCGAUGGCGAAGGCAACCCCCUGGGCUAACACUGACGCUCAGGCACGAAAGCGUGGGGAGCAAACAGGAUUAGAUACCCUGGUAGUCCACGCCCUAAACUAUGUCAACUAGUUGUCGGAUCUUAAUAGAUUUGGUAACGUAGCUAACGCGUGAAGUUGACCGCCUGGGGAGUACGGUCGCAAGAUUAAAACUCAAAGGAAUUGACGGGGACCCGCACAAGCGGUGGAUUAUGUGGAUUAAUUCGAUGCAACGCGAAAAACCUUACCUACCCUUGACAUGUCAAAAAGCUUUCAGAGAUGGAAGUGUGCCUGAAAG
rnacentral:rRNA from 1 species